rnacentral:rRNA from 1 species
UCCUACGGGUGGCUGCAGUCGAGAAUCUUCGGCAAUGGGCGCAAGCCUGACCGAGCGACGCCGCGUGUGGGAUGAAGGCCUUCGGGUUGUAAACCACUGUCGGAGGGGAGGAAAUUCUAUGGGGUCCACUCCAUAGAUUGACCUAUCCUCAAAGGAAGGACGGGCUAAGUUCGUGCCAGCAGCCGCGGUAAGACGAACCGUCCGAACGUUAUUCGGAAUUACUGGGCUUAAAGGGUGCGUAGGCGGCCCUGAAAGUUGGGUGUGAAAUCCCUCGGCUCAACCGAGGAAUUGCGCCCAAAACUACAGGGCUUGAGGGAGACAGAGGUGAGCGGAACUUGCGGUGGAGCGGUGAAAUGCGUUGAUAUCGCAAGGAACACCAGGGGCGAAAGCGGCUCACUGGGUCUCUUCUGACGCUGAGGCACGAAAGCUAGGGGAGCGAACGGGAUUAGAUACCCUUGUAGUC